rnacentral:rRNA from 1 species
GGCUCAGGAUGAACGCUAGCUACAGGCUUAACACAUGCAAGUCGAGGGGCAGCAUGAACUUAGCUUGCUAAGUUUGAUGGCGACCGGCGCACGGGUGAGUAACACGUAUCCAACCUUCCGUUUACUCAGGGAUAGCCUUUCGAAAGAAAGAUUAAUACCUGAUGGUAUGAUGAGAUUGCAUGAUAGCAUCAUUAAAGAUUUAUCGGUGUACGAUGGGGAUGCGUUCCAUUAGGUAGUAGGCGGGGUAACGGCCCACCUAGCCGACGAUGGAUAGGGGUUCUGAGAGGAAGGUCCCCCACAUUGGUACUGAGACACGGACCAAACUCCUACGGGAGGCAGCAGUGAGGAAUAUUGGUCAAUGGGCGAGAGCCUGAACCAGCCAAGUAGCGUGAAGGAUGAAGGUCCUACGGAUUGUAAACUUCUUUUAUACGGGAAUAAAGUUUCCUACGUGUAGGAUUUUGUAUGUACCGUAUGAAUAAGCAUCGGCUAACUCCGUG